rnacentral:ncRNA from 1 species
UCCUCUGCGGGAGGCGAUGACGCGUGGCCCACGCCCCCGGUCGCCCGGUCCGCGCCGAGCCACUGGCGAGACCGACCGCAGAUCG